rnacentral:rRNA from 1 species
AUUGAACGCUGGCGGCAGGCCUAACACAUGCAAGUCGAGCGGAUGAAGGGAGCUUGCUCCUGGAUUCAGCGGCGGACGGGUGAGUAAUGCCUAGGAAUCUGCCUGGUAGUGGGGGAUAACGUCCGGAAACGGGCGCUAAUACCGCAUACGUCCUGAGGGAGAAAGUGGGGGAUCUUCGGACCUCACGCUAUCAGAUGAGCCUAGGUCGGAUUAGCUAGUUGGUGGGGUAAAGGCCUACCAAGGCGACGAUCUGUAACUGGUCUGAGAGGAUGAUCAGUCACACUGGAACUGAGACACGGUCCAGACCCCCACGGGAGGCAGCAGUGGGGAAUAUUGGACAAUGGGCGAAAGCCUGAUCCAGCCAUGCCGCGUGUGUGAAGAAGGUCUUCGGAUUGUAAAGCACUUUAAGUUGGGAGGAAGGGCAGUAAGUUAAUACCUUGCUGUUUUGACGUUACCAACAGAAUAAGCACCGGCUAACUUCGUG